GAUGAAUGCUGGCGGCGUGCCUAAUACAUGCAAGUCGAACGAAACUUCUUUAUCACCGAGUGCUUGCACUCACCGAUAAAGAGUUGAGUGGCGAACGGGUGAGUAACACGUGGGCAACCUGCCCAAAAGAGGGGGAUAACACUUGGAAACAGGUGCUAAUACCGCAUAACCAUAGUUACCGCAUGGUAACUAUGUAAAAGGUGGCUAUACUACCGCUUUUGGAUGGGCCCGCGGCGCAUUAGCUAGUUGGUAGGGUAAAGGCUUACCAAGGCAAUGAUGCGUAGCCGAAUUGAGAGGUUGAUCGGCCACAUUGGGACUGAGACACGGCCCAAACUCCUACGGGAGGCAGCAGUAGGGAAUCUUCCACAAUGGGCGAAAGCCUGAUGGAGCAACGCCGCGUGGGUGAAGAAGGUCUUCGGAUCGUAAAACCCUGUUGUUAGAGAAGAAAGUGCGUGAGAGUAACUGUUCACGUUUCGACGGUAUCUAACCAGAAAGCCACGGCUAACUACGUG
rnacentral:rRNA from 1 species